GUGCUGUUCAGAAGGAGGGAAGGUUAGCCCUCCCUUUGACAAGGAUGGAAGAGGCCCUAGAGCCUGACAAUACACAUACAGUUCAGGCCUUGCCACCUACUUUGUGGCAUCUGACCACUGUUUUUU
ensembl:snRNA